rnacentral:rRNA from 1 species
GACGAACGCUGGCGGUGUGCUUAACACAUGCAAGUCGAACGGUAAGGCCCUUUCGGGGGUACACGAGUGGCGAACGGGUGAGUAACACGUGAGUAACCUGCCCUCAUCUCUGGGAUAACAGUCGGAAACGGUUGCUAAUACUGGAUAUGAGCUUGCAAGGCAUCUUGUGGGUUGGAAAGAUUUUUUUGGUUGGGGAUGGACUCGCGGCCUAUCAGCUUGUUGGUGAGGUAGUGGCUCACCAAGGCUUCGACGGGUAGCCGGCCUGAGAGGGCGACCGGCCACAUUGGAACUGAAAUACGGCCCAAACUCCUACGGGAGGCAGCAGUGGGGAAUAUUGCACAAUGGACGGAAGUCUGAUGCAGCAACGCCGCGGGCGGGAUGACGGCCUUCGGGUUGUAAACCGCUUUCAAUUGUGACGAAGCUUUUUGUGACGGUAGCAGUAGAAGAAGCACCGGCUAACUACGUG